rnacentral:rRNA from 1 species
UACGAGGGGUGCAAGCGUUAUUCGGAAUUAUUGGGCGUAAAGGGUGCGUAGACGGCAUAUUAAGUCUGUUGUUAAAUUUUUCGGCUUAACCGAAAAGCUGCGAUGGAUACUGAUUUGCUAGAGGGUGAGAGAGAGAAGUGGAAUUCCCGGAGUAGCGGUAAAAUGCGUGGAUCUCGGGAGGAACACCGAUGGCGAAGGCAGCUUCUUGGCUCAUUUCUGACGUUGAGGCACGAAAGCGUGGGGAGCAAACAGG